AACGCGAAGAACCUUACCAAGGCUUGACAUGGACUGGAUCGCCGCAGAGAUGUGGUUUCCCUUCGGGGCUGGUUCACAGGUGGUGCAUGGUUGUCGUCAGCUCGUGUCGUGAGAUGUUGGGUUAAGUCCCGCAACGAGCGCAACCCUCGUUCCAUGUUGCCAGCGGGUUAUGCCGGGGACUCAUGGGAGACUGCCGGGGUCAACUCGGAGGAAGGUGAGGACGACGUCAAAUCAUCAUGCCCCUUAUGUCUUGGGCUUCACGCAUGCUACAAUGGCCGGUACAAAGGGUUGCGAUACUGUGAGGUGGAGCUAAUCCCAAAAAGCCGGUCUCAGUUCGGAUUGGGGUCUGCAACUCGACCCCAUGAAGUCGGAGUCGCUAGUAAUCGCAGAUCAGCAACGCUGCGGUGAAUACGUUCCCGGGCCUUGUACACACCGCGCAUA
rnacentral:rRNA from 1 species